rnacentral:misc_RNA from 1 species
GAUGAAGAACGUAGCGAAAUGCGAUAAGUAAUGCGAAUUGCAGAAUCCGUGAGUCAUCGAAUCUUUGAACGCACAUUGCGCCCCUUGGUAUUCCGAGGGGCAUGCCUGUUCGAGCGUCAUUUCAACCCCUCAAGCUCAGCUUGGUGUUGGGCUGCGCCAGCGUGCUGGCGGGCCUUAAAAUCAGUGGCGGUGCCGUUUGGGCUCCAAGCGUAGUAGCAUCUCUCGCUCUGGAGACCCGGCGGUUGCCUGCCAGACAAACCACUACAAAACAAAGGUUUGACCUCGGUUCAGGUAGGGAUACCCGCUGAACUUAAGCAUAUCAAUAAGCGGAGGA